rnacentral:rRNA from 1 species
UACGUAGGUGGCAAGCGUUGUUCGGAAUUAUUGGGCGUAAAGGGCGCGUAGGCGGCCGAGCAAGUUAGAUGUGAAAGUCCUGGGCUUAACCUGGGGACUGCAUUUGAUACUGCUUGGCUUGAAUUCGGGAGAGGAUAGCGGAAUUCCCAGUGUAGAGGUGAAAUUCGUAGAUAUUGGGAAGAACACCGGUGGCGAAGGCGGCUAUCUGGACCGACAUUGACGCUGAGGCGCGAAAGCGUGGGGAGCAAACAGG